CACAUCAUAAAGGGCAUUAGACCCAACCCUGCAAAUGAAUUGUAGGCACAGGAAUGGCACAAUCAUCUAUGUUUCAGAAAGAUGACUUUGGUGACAGAAGGGAAGAUGGAUUAAAACGAAGUAAUGCCAGAGACUGAAGCCAGAAGACUGUUCUACGAACAGAGAUAACAAGGACCUGAACUUGAGAAGCAACAGCAGAAAACAUGAUAAGGCUCUGGAGAUGUACAGAUGCUAUUUGAAAACAGGAAGAAAACUGUUUAUAGAAUGAAUCUACAAAUAUUACCAAGCUACUGCAUAUUUUUUUUUUUUUAACAAUUCAUUAGUAGUCAAGGUAACCUGAAAAAGCACAAAAUCUGGAUCCGUGGCAAAUGAACACCUUGUGGCUCCAGCAGAGACUGUCCCAGCAGCUGAAACUAGUCUGAAUCACCUGCUCUACUAUGGAUGCUAGCAAACUGGGAAUAUGCGAAUCACCUCAUUCAGAGACUCAGAAAAUCACCCAGGACAGGUUUUAUUGGUGGUAGAUUAUCCCCAAGUACAAAGAGGAACAUAAUCACUGAGAAAGCAGCAAGCAAUAAUUUAGCAGCACUUUGUAGGAUUAAGUAACCUCUUAAGGAUUAUACUAUCCCUCUGUGGGAAGAAGUUAAUGCGGGUGACCCUGAUACAAUUUCUUCUUACAUGUGGCAGUUAGGGACAAACAGAAAUGAUCAGCGAUUCCCAAUCUAAGGAAUAGGAACCAACCAGUCAGGGCUGGAGCUGGUGACAGCCUCACAGACAAGGAGACACAGGGAUACAGUAAAGGGGUCCCUAUAAACAGUGAUUAGAAGUGCAAACCAAAGGUUGAUUUUGAUGUUUGUGAAGUCUGGACGAGACAGAAUGCUGCUAGACGGGGCCUGUACAGACAACAGCAAUCCCCAUCAAAGGCAUCUAUGACGCACAGGCAGUACUAUCAAAGAUAAAAGGAUUUGCCCCUGACAUCAAGCAAAAAGGUUUCCAAAACCAAUACAACUUGGGAAAAGGGAGUAUAAAGGAAACAAACUUGUUCCUCAACACACUGGUCUUCAUUCAAAAACAUACCUCUGAUCACGCUGUUCCCUACCGCGAAGAUGGCCCCCCUGGUUCAGAGCCUUACCCCCCACCCCUAGGCCUUCCUUCCAGCCCCAAACUAAUAAAGUUCUAAUCAAA